GAGAGCUGGCGGCGUGCCUAAUACAUGCAAGUCGAACGCACAGCGAAAGGUGCUUGCACCUUUCAAGUGAGUGGCGAACGGGUGAGUAACACGUGGACAACCUGCCUCAAGGCUGGGGAUAACAUUUGGAAACAGAUGCUAAUACCGAAUAAAACUUAGUGUCGCAUGACGCAAAGUUAAAAGGCGCUUCGGCGUCACCUAGAGAUGGAUCCGCGGUGCAUUAGUUAGUUGGUGGGGUAAAGGCCUACCAAGACAAUGAUGCAUAGCCGAGUUGAGAGACUGAUCGGCCACAUUGGGACUGAGACACGGCCCAAACUCCUACGGGAGGCUGCAGUAGGGAAUCUUCCACAAUGGGCGAAAGCCUGAUGGAGCAACGCCGCGUGUGUGAUGAAGGCUUUCGGGUCGUAAAGCACUGUUGUAUGGGAAGAACAGCUAGAAUAGGAAAUGAUUUUAGUUUGACGGUACCAUACCAGAAAGGGACGGCUAAAUACGUGCCAGCAGCCGCGGUAAUACGUAUGUCCCGAGCGUUAUCCGGAUUUAUUGGGCGUAAAGCGAGCGCAGACGGUUUAUUAAGUCUGAUGUGAAAGCCCGGAGCUCAACUCCGGAAUGGCAUUGGAAACUGGUUAACUUGAGUGCAGUAGAGGUAAGUGGAACUCCAUGUGUAGCGGUGGAAUGCGUAGAUAUAUGGAAGAACACCAGUGGCGAAGGCGGCUUACUGGACUGCAACUGACGUUGAGGCUCGAAAGUGUGGGUAGCAAACAGGAUUAGAUACCCUGGUAGUCCACACCGUAAACGAUGAACACUAGGUGUUAGGAGGUUUCCGCCUCUUAGUGCCGAAGCUAACGCAUUAAGUGUUCCGCCUGGGGAGUACGACCGCAAGGUUGAAACUCAAAGGAAUUGACGGGGACCCGCACAAGCGGGGGAGCAUGUGUUUUAUUCAAAGCAACGCGA
rnacentral:rRNA from 1 species